UGGGGAAUUUUGGACAAUGGGCGAAAGCCUGAUCCAGCAAUGCCGCGUGUGUGAAGAAGGCCUUCGGGUUGUAAAGCACUUUUGUCCGGAAAGAAAUCCUUGGCUCUAAUACAGUCGGGGGAUGACGGUACCGGAAGAAUAAGCACCGGCUAACUACGUGCCAGCAGCCGCGGUAAUACGUAGGGUGCAAGCGUUAAUCGGAAUUACUGGGCGUAAAGCGUGCGCAGGCGGUUUGCUAAGACCGGUGUGAAAUCCCCGGGCUCAACCUGGGAACUGCAUUGGUGACUGGCAGGCUAGAGUAUGGCAGAGGGGGGUAGAAUUCCACGUGUAGCAGUGAAAUGCGUAGAGAUGUGGAGGAAUACCGAUGGCGAAGGCAGCCCCCUGGGCCAAUACUGACGCUCAUGCACGAAAGCGUGGGGAGCAAACAGGAUUAGAUACCCUGGUAGUCCACGCCCUAAACGAUGUCAACUAGUUGUUGGGGAUUCAUUUCCUUAGUAACGUAGCUAACGCGUGAAGUUGACCGCCUGGGGAGUACGGUCGCAAGAUUAAAACUCAAAUGAAUUGAC
rnacentral:rRNA from 1 species